rnacentral:rRNA from 1 species
CCUACGGGUGGCAGCAGUGGGGAAUAUUGGACAAUGGGGGGAACCCUGAUCCAGCCAUGCCGCGUGUGUGAAGAAGGCCCUCGGGUUGUAAAGCACUUUCAGUGAGGAAGAACGCCUGGUGGUUAAUACCCAUCAGGAAAGACAUCACUCACAGAAGAAGCACCGGCUAACUCCGUGCCAGCAGCCGCGGUAAUUCGGAGGGUGCGAGCGUUAAUCGGAAUUACUGGGCGUAAAGCGCGCGUAGGUGGCUUGAUAAGCCGGUUGUGAAAGCCCCGGGCUCAACCUGGGAACGGCAUCCGGAACUGUCAAGCUAGAGUGCAGGAGAGGAAGGUAGAAUUCCCGGUGUAGCGGUGAAAUGCGUAGAGAUCGGGAGGAAUACCAGUGGCGAAGGCGGCCUUCUGGACUGACACUGACACUGAGGUGCGAAAGCGUGGGUAGCAAACAGGAUUAGAUACCCUUGUAGUC